AGCGGCAGACGGGUGAGUAACGCGUGGGAACGUACCUUUUGCUACGGAAUAACUCAGGGAAACUUGUGCUAAUACCGUAUGUGCCCUUCGGGGAAAGAUUUAUCGGCAAAGGAUCGGCCCGCGUUGGAUUAGCUAGUUGGUGAGGUAAAGGCUCACCAAGGCGACGAUCCAUAGCUGGUCUGAGAGGAUGAUCAGCCACACUGGGACUGAGACACGGCCCAGACUCCUACGGGAGGCAGCAGCA
rnacentral:rRNA from 1 species